rnacentral:rRNA from 1 species
UACGUAGGUGACAAGCGUUGUCCGGAUUUACUGGGCGUAAAGAGCGCGCAGGCGGUCGUGCAAGUCGCGUGUGAAAGCCCCCGGCUCAACUGGGGAGGGUCACGCGAUACUGUUCGACUCGAAGGCAGGAGAGGGAAGUGGAAUUCCCGGUGUAGUGGUGAAAUGCGUAGAUAUCGGGAGGAACACCAGUGGCGAAGGCGACUUCCUGGCCUGUUCUUGACGCUGAGGCGCGAAAGCUAGGGUAGCAAACGGGG